AAAAAAAACAAAAGGGUGAAGGGUGAACACAAAAAAAACAAAAGGGUGAAGGGUGAACACAAAAAAAAACAAAAGGGUGCAAAAACAAAAGGGUGAAGGGUGAACACAAAAAAAAAAACAAAAGGGUGAAGGGUGAACACAAAAAAAACAAAAGGGUGAAGGGUGAACACAAAAAAAAACAAAAGGGUGCCCAGAGAGAUCUCGCUCAAUCUCCUGCCUACGUAUCUCAUCUGGUAUGAGAAUCAGGGCGACGUAGUUUCCCUUAACAGGGGAAAACUCUC
rnacentral:lncRNA from 1 species